AGGCUGUCUCCACCCGAGACUCAGUGAAAUUGAACUCGCUGUGAAGAUGCAGUGUACCCGCGGCAAGACGGAAAGACCCCGUGAACCUUUACUAUAGCUUGACACUGAACAUUGAGCCUUGAUGUGUAGGAUAGGUGGGAGGCUUUGAAGUGUGGACGCCAGUCUGCAUGGAGCCGACCUUGAAAUACCACCCUUUAAUGUUUGAUGUUCUAACGUGGACCCGUUACCCGGGUUGCGGACAGUGUCUGGUGGGUAGUUUGACUGGGGCGGUCUCCUCCUAAAGAGUAACGGAGGAGCACGAAGGUUGGCUAAUCCUGGUCGGACAUCAGGAGGUUAGUGCAAUGGCAUAAGCCAGCUUGACUGCGAGCGUGACGGCGCGAGCAGGUGCGAAAGCAGGUCAUAGUGAUCCGGUGGUUCUGAAUGGAAGGGCCAUCGCUCAACGGAUAAAAGGUACUCCGGGGAUAACAGGCUGAUACCGCCCAAGAGUUCAUAUCGACGGCGGUGUUUGGCACCUCGAUGUCGGCUCAUCACAUCCUGGGGCUGAAGUAGGUCCCAAGGGUAUGGCUGUUCGCCAUUUAAAGUGGUACGCGAGCUGGGUUUAGAACGUCGUGAGACAGUUCGGUCCCUAUCUGCCGUGGGCGCUGGAGAACUGAGGGGGGCUGCUCCUAGUACGAGAGGACCGGAGUGGACGCAUCACUGGUGUUCGGGUUGUCAUGCCAAUGGCACUGCCCGGUAGCUAAAUGCGGAAGAGAUAAGUGCUGAAAGC
rnacentral:rRNA from 1 species